GACGAACGCUGGCGGCGUGCUUAACACAUGCAAGUCGAACGGAAAGGCCCUGCUUUUGUGGGGUGCUCGAGUGGCGAACGGGUGAGUAACACGUGAGUAACCUGCCCUUGACUUUGGGAUAACUUCAGGAAACUGGGGCUAAUACCGGAUAGGAGCUCCCGCUGCAUGGUGGGGGGUGGAAAGUUUCGGCGGUUGGGGAUGGACGCGCGGCUUAUCAGCUUGUUGGUGGGGUAGUGGCUUACCAAGGCUUUGACGGGUAGCCGGCCUGAGAGGGUGACCGGCCACAUUGGGACUGAGAUACGGCCCAGACUCCUACGGGAGGCAGCGGUGGGGAAUAUUGCACAAUGGGCGGAAGCCUGAUGCAGCAACGCCGCGUGCGGGAUGACGGCCUGCGGGUUGUGAACCGCUUUCGCCUGUGACGAAGCGUGAGUGACGGUAAUGGGUAAAGAAGCACCGGCUAACUACGUG
rnacentral:rRNA from 1 species